rnacentral:rRNA from 1 species
CCUACGGGGGGCAGCCGUCGAGUAUCUUUCACAGUUUGUGAAGCCCUGAUGGUGCGACGCCGCGUGGGGGAAUGAAGGUCUUCGGAUUGUAAACCCCUGUCAUGUGGGAGCAAAUUAAAAAGAUAGUACCACAAGAGGAAGAGACGGCUAACUCUGUGCCAGCAGCCGCGGGAAUACAGAGGUCUCAAGCGUUGUUCGGAAUCACUGGGCGUAAAGCGUGCGUAGGCUGUUUCGUAAGUCGUGUGUGAAAGGCGCGGGCUCAACCCGCGGACGGCACAUGAUACUGCGAGGCUAGGGUAAUGGAG